CUUAUCCCUCAGGGAUAUGGCUAACUCCCGCGAGAUGUUAAACGACAACUCAAUUGGACCAUUUCACUAAAUAAAUCUAGCGAUAUCAUAAA